ACGCUCGACACCUACGGGGGCAGCAGUGGGGAAUAUUGGGCAAUGGGCGAAAGCCUGACCCAGCAACGCCGCGUGAGGGAAGAAGGUUUUCGGAUUGUAAACCUCUGUCCUCAGGGACGAAGGACGUGACGGUACCUGAGGAGGAAGCCCCGGCUAACUACGCGCCAGCAGCCGCGGUAAUCUGAGCGGGCUGGCAAGGC
rnacentral:rRNA from 1 species